ACUUCCCCAGCCGCCUCACACUCUCUCCCAUGCCCAGCCGCCUCACCUGCUCCCUUCUCGCCGUCGACCUCUUCCGCGGCCCGCCACGGCGAGAACGGAGCUCGGACUUGUGUUGCUGCUCUCUCUCAGACCCCCAUUCCGGUGAGCAGCCUCACUCUCUCCCCCGUCUCCUACCAGACUCGACUCUUUCUUGCUCUCUCUCCCAGAUCCCCAUUCCGGUGGCCGUUUUCUGCUCGAAUCAAGCUGCGUGCGUGUAUUCCUGCCGGCGGCCUUCUCCGUUGGGGUUCGGUUUGAUGUGGUGUACAGCGAGGAGGCCGUGGGCGACCUGCUCGCCACCCUCAACCAGCUAUCCGGCCCGGACACAACCAUACUGCUCGCCAUCCCAUCCUAGCCGAUUCCAUUCCACCAUCGAUCCCUGCUGCUGAAUGAAUGAUCAAGUGUUUCUGUGAAUGAAUCAGCAGACAUGGUGGGGUGCUUCUUAAUUAGAGGGGGGCCCAUGGCGGAGGGGAGGCGAGACGAUGUGAGGAUGCCAUGGCGGCAUCCGUCAGUCUUCACAACACACAAUGCGGACGCGAGAGCCUCAACAGCAGCUACAACCGCCAUUGCCCAACAACAAUCUGCCACAAGGAGUUAAAAAUCAAUUGAGACGCUUAGCACAAUAAUGACAAACUAGUAAUAAAUAAUCAAGAUCGAGAUGUUUACCACAAUGGACUUGUGUCCUCACUGUACGGGAGACGACGCCAGCCUCAACCCAGUCAACUCUCGACGGUCGUAAUUGUAGCUUAUCAAUGCAAGGCGAUGAGGCGUCAAGAGCACUGGGUAAAGAGCUGGUGACACGGCUGGUCAUACAACGAACUGAAAUUCUGAUAGCGGCAAAUGAAGCCAUCACAAUGACGAGUCUGCGAUCCCUACAGAAGGAAAGGUUCAAAAUCCUCACAGUAUCAAGUACAGUGGUACAAUUCAAGGGCUUAAGUAUAUAUGGAGAACCGAAGGCCUUCGUAGACUGUUUAAGGGCAAUGGAAUAAACUGUGCAAGGAUCGUCCCAAAUUCCGCUGUGAAAUUCUUCAGCUAUGAGCAAGCAUCAAGAGAAUGCUCAGCCUAGUCCACUCUUGCGCCUUGGAGCUGGAGCCACAGCUGGCAUCGUAGCCAUGUCUGCUGCUUAUCCCAUGGAUAUGGUUAGGGGUAGGAUUACUGUUCAGGCAGAGAAGUCUCCCCGUGGUAUGUUUCAUGCAUUGGACACAGUGUACUGUGAAGAAGGCUUUCAGUGCUUUAUACAGAGGGAGGCUUCCGUCAUUGAUUGGAGCUGUCCCUUAUGUUGGACUUAACUUUGAUGUAUACGAUUCUCUGAAGGACUGGCUCCUCUGGACAAAUGCGCUUGCAAAGUACAACGGGUUUCACAUAGUAACAAGGCUUGGAUGCGGAGCUGUGGCUGGAACCAUAGGGAAGACUGGCAUACCCUCUUUGAUGCUGUCAGGAGAAGAAUGCAGAUUUUUUUUUUUUUUGAAAAAGAGAGCGGCCUCUCCGAUUUCUAUUUAUCAGAAACCAUAGCGUCUUGGAACAAACAUAAGAGAAGCUGAAGCUAAGGAAAUGAGAAGAAUGCAGAUGGUUGGCUGGAACCUGGAAUCACGCUGCUUCUGUUGUUACUGGAGAAGGCAAAGAGGCAUUCAGGAAGAAUGCAGAUGGUCGGCUGGAAUCACACUGCUUCUGUUGUUACUGGAGAAGGCAAAGAGGCACUCCAGUACAAUGGUAUGACUGAUGCAUUCAGGAAACUGUUGGCCACGAAGGAUUUGGUGCUCUGUUCAAGGGUCUUGGGCCCAACUCAGUGAAGCUGGUGCAUUCCAUAGCUGCAUUCGUCACGUACGAGGAUGUUCUUGUAGUAGAAGGCGAGUACAAGGACAAUUGGACUGACCGAGGCUCCAUUCAGCACAAGAAGGCCCUCGCAGCCCCUGUCGAUAUAUCUAUCCUACUACUGGUCAAGGCCCUAAUUGUUGCCGCACCGCACUCUUGGGGAAGUAAUAAGUUGGCUGGUGAAGACCCUAAUUGUUGCCGCACCGCACUCUUGGGAAAGUAAUAAGUUGUUGGCAUUUCCUAGUCUGCCUGUUUGUAAUUGGUGACUUGUAAGUCCCAUUUGUCUACAGCCACUGGGUGUUGUAUCACUAGUAGUUUCCAUGAGCAUGAGUGAUGAAAUGUCACUUGACGAACAACUAUUUUUGCCUAGUUUCUGAUAUUAUGUACUGAAUUUAUGUAAAUUUUGCUUCUGGGCUUA